rnacentral:rRNA from 1 species
CUACGGGUGGCUCCAGCAGGGAAUAUUGCACAAUGGACGGAAGUCUGAUGCAGCGACGCCGCGUGGAUGAUGAAGGCCCUCGGGUUGUAAAAUCCUUUUCAGGGGGACGAGGCAGGACGGUACCCUUGGAAUAAGCGUCGGCUAACUACGUGGCCAGCAGCCGCGGUAAGACGUAGGACGCAAGCGUUAUCCGGAUUUACUGGGCGUAAAGCGUCUGUAGGCGGAAUGGUAAGUUGGGCGUGAAAGCUCCGGGCUUAACUCGGAGAGGACGUUCAAUACUGCCAAACUAGAGGGCAUCAGAGGAGCGUGGAAUUUCCGGUGUAGCGGUAAAAUGCGCAGAUAUCGGAAGGAACACCAAUGGCGAAGGCAGCGCUCUGGGAUGAACCUGACGCUAAGAGACGAAAGCUAGGGGAGCGAACAGGAUUAGAUACCCCGGUAGUC